rnacentral:rRNA from 1 species
AUGGCGCGGGUGCCCGUAGACGUGUUGGUAGGGUUUUUUCUGCGUCAGCUACAGCAGAGAUCCAAGGCUUUGGGUUAUGCAUGGUUGGAGAGGAAGGUCAAGGAGGCACUCACGGACGCGUUCAUCCGAACGCUGGCGCCCGCCCCGCCGGAAGGCCAUGGCAGGGGGACGGGCAUCGCUGCAGCAAGCUUCGCAGUCGGAUCUGCCGCGCAGGCCAUGGGGCUGCCUCUCCCUUCCGUGGGCGUUCAUGUCGGAGCGGAGGGGGUGAGCUUCCUGCUGCCUGGAGGGCCGGUGGGCCUAGCACUCCGCUCCGAUGUGGCCACCAGCGCCGCCACGGACGGGUCCCGCGCGGUCGCCGGCGUGGUCGGUGCCGCCCUCAACACCGCCGAACCCAGCGUCAUCGUCAGCGAGGCGCUCGGCGCGUCUCUCCUCGCCGCCACCGCGGCCGGGUCCAGCAUGGUCGCCGGCGCGGUCGCUUCCUCCGUCAACACCGCCGACCCCAGCGUCACCGUCAGCGAAGCGUUCGGCGCGUCUCUCCUCACCGGCACCGCGGCCGGGUCCAGCAUGGUCGCCGGCGCGGUCGCUUCCUCCGUCAACACCGCCGACCCCAGCGUCACCGUCAGCGAAGCGUUCGGCGCGUCUCUCCUCACCGGCACCGCGGCCGGGUCCAGAAUUGUCGCCGCGUCCGUCGAGACCGCGCCCCCGGCCGCCACCCUCACCGAGGCCAUCGGCGCCGCGCUGGGCACUGCCGCCUCCGUCGAGACCGCGCUCCCGGCCUCCACCCUCACCGAUGCCGUCAGGGGGGCGCUGGGCACUGCUUCCUCCGUCCAGAUCGCCCCCUCGAACGCUGCACUCAUCGAAGCCGUGGGCGCCGAGGACCUGACUCGCGCCGUCAAGAUCGUCGGCAACACCAUCACUCGCGUCGGCGUUGAAGGAAUCACCGGCCAGGAGACCGCCGCCACCGAUGUUGUCGAGAACACAGCAUCGGACUCAUCCGUCCUCAAGUCCAUGGUGAUCGUCGUCGGAGUUCUACUCAUCCUGGGCGGCGGCGGGUACUACCUGUUCGGGCGCGGCAAGGGACCGACGGGACCGAGGGGACCGAAGAAGGGAAGCCCCGACGGCGGGAAGGGGGGCAACGGCAAGCGCAAGCCCAAGCCCAAGAAGUAA